rnacentral:lncRNA from 1 species
GCCUUCUCCUGUCUGCCACCACGUGAGAUGUGCCUUUCACCUUCCACUAUGAUUGUGAGGCCUCACCAGCCAUGUGGAACUCAAUACUCUCUCAACACUGUUUAUCAAAGGAACCAAUAUGGAAGGAAAAACAUUGCUUUGAAGGGAAGAUGGAUGGAUCCCCUAGUAAACUACAGCUUGAGGUGCAAUUUCCUAAAGUUCAAAUGCCUGAAAAAGGAAACGAAAGAAAGAAACUCAACUCUUGAGACAGCUUCAAUGCUAGCUUUGAUCUCAAUUAUAGAGUUAUUUAUGAAAAGUGCAUUUUUACAACUAAAAAUAAAUUAGGAUCAAAAGCUUCUAGAGGCUAUACUAUGGAGUGCUUAAUAAAAAGUUGAGUAAAGAGUAA